UACAAUAUAUAGUGGUCCUCUUCCUCUCCUCCUUUGGUAAAGGUAUAAUACUUUGGUAAAGGAGGAGAGGAAGAAAACCACUAUAUAUUGUAUUUAUUAU